rnacentral:lncRNA from 1 species
CAAGGUUUUGUGUGGUCUGGCCCUUGUACUGUGUUCACCAUCACCUGUGAUCUUUGAUGACUAUCUGCCAGAUGCUCUGAACUUUUUUCCUGAAUUUCUGCUACCUAGAAAACUUUCAGGAUGUAGUUUGCAUUCAGUGUGUAUUUAUUGAAUUAUUGAACUAAUUAAUGAAUGCCUUAGAGCAGUGUGAUCAAACCUGUUUGCACAUUUGAUUCUCUAAUAGAACUUUUAAAACAAAGGUAUUUGAAACUCUCUCUUGGAGAUUCUGAUUUAAUUUUCCUUUAAAAAGGGUUCUCAGAUUAUUUUAAUGUGCAGAGUUGAGAAACUGACUUAGAGGAAAGGACAAUCAUUAAUAAAUGACUGAAGUGGAUUUCUCAGACUCCUAAACUCUCAUAUAGUAUACUUUCACUGCCAUAUAACCCCAUGUAUUCUCAAAAAAUAACUUUUUCCCUAUUUAGUAGUAAAUGAUCCUGUUAGACUUCAAAUUCCUGUUAGACACUGGCAGCUCUGAUACAAUUUAGCUUGAUUUAAUUUUGUGCAUGCUUUGCUAGAGUCACUAAGUAAGAUUCCCAGAUAUUUCUGAAAUGGAAAAGGAAGGGUCAUUUGACUCUGUUUCAUACACCACAGCUUUGCUGAUUAACAAUACCUGGGUCUCAGCCAAUGGUGUCGUCAUGUUGGCUACAUGAGUAUUGCAAACAAAACCCAGCACCCAGGCAGAUCUGAAGUUCAAAGCUUAUUUAGACUGGGAACACUUAUUAAAGAAAAUGUCAUUUGUGUUCAGAAUAAUGGCUUGUAACUCUUCCAAAAUGAUUUUUCACCUAAUAGGAUUCGUCCUCUUCAAUGGAAACUCCAAGGAGAAAAUCUGGAAAUUUUGGCGGUAUAUACUGAGACCAGAUGGUCAACAGGAUUCUUUUUCAAGGACCAAGAGUUCUGGACAAUGUCCACACGUGAUCUCUGAAGUGUUGAGAAUGAAGAGUAUCUCUGUGGAACCUACACACAUGAAUGACAGCAGGACUGGUAAAGUACUCCCAGAUAAUCCUUCCCUAUCACUUCUGUGCAGUCACCAUUGCAUUAUCUUCUGGCAUUGGCUGUUGCAGUAGAGAAUUCUGAGAUGCCUAUAUUCUUUAAUUCCACUGCUAUUGACCUAAAUAGUUCUAGAAUUCAUCCUAGUCUAUACUCACCAUUCCUCUUUCCAUCAUGUUGAGGAUAGAUGGCUACUAGUUCUGACUCAAGUAUUUCCUUUUAGGAUUUUUUAUGCACUUUAAAAAAAUUUUUUCUUAUAAGGUAUUCUGUCAGUGUUGGUGCGCUUCUCAAAAUGUCAUGUAUCUAUGAUGCUGGAUAUGGGGUGAGAAUCCAGGCUUAACACAGAGGUAAACCGAGAUUGAUGUGAUUGAUCUGUGGGUUAGAGUACAGAACAAAGCAAAAUCUGAAAGGCUGAAUUGAGUGAUAAAGUCAAGAUCCAAAGAGAGCAUGCAAACAGCAACAGUAUGAAGUUAGAGAGGCAGGGACCUGGUACAAAACACUGGGAUGGAAUGUAAAGUAAGUGGCUUUGGGAUGAAGGGAAGAUGUUUGAGUUUUGAGUCUCUGAGCCAUUAUAUGGAGCUGCCACGUGUGUUGGGCAAUUUAGGCAAAAGAAACUGAGUCAGCCAAGAAAUCCUGCCCCAUGCCUAUUGCUGAAGUUUAUGCUGGAGGGCCUGGGAUGGGUGCAUGUCUUAGAGAAGUCCUGCCUGAGACAAUAUAGCUUAGGUUGGCUGUCAGUGUUGCCUCAUUCCCACUGACCACGAAGACGAACAUACUUACUUCCAUUUGCCGUAGCAGUUGAUGAUGUGGUUUAUCUCUUUGGUACAGUUCCACAGGUACUGCAAUAAAAAGUUGGAAAGAAUUCUUAUGAGAUUUGAC